GACGAACGCUGGCGGCGUGCUUAACACAUGCAAGUCGAACGGAAAGGCCCUGCUUUUGUGGGGUGCUCGAGUGGCGAACGGGGGAGUAACACGUGAGUAACCUGCCCUUGACUUUGGGAUAACUUCAGGAAACUGGGGCUAAUACCGGAUAGGAGCUCCUGCUGCAGGGUGGGGGUUGGAAAGUUUCGGCGGUUGGGGAUGGACUCGCGGCUUAUCAGCUUGUUGGUGUGGUAGUGGCUUACCAAGGCUUUGACGGGUAGCCGGCCUGAGAGGGUGACCGGCCACAUUGGGCCUGAGCUACGGCCCAGACUCCUACGGGAGGCAGCAGUGGGGAAUAUUGCACAAUGGGCGGAAGCCUGAUGCAGCAACGCCGCGUGCGGGAUGACGGCCUUCGGGUUGUAAACCGCUUUCGCCUGUGACGAAGCGUGAGUGACGGUAAUGGGUAAAGAAGCACCGGCUAACUACGUG
rnacentral:rRNA from 1 species